rnacentral:snoRNA from 1 species
UGCUGAAAAGUGAUGAGUUUUUUAUGUCUCUUCUCUGAAUAUAAUCUGAAGAUUCUAUCAAUGCACUGAUUUCAGCA